GAUGAACGCUGGCGGCGUGCCUAAUACAUGCAAGUCGAGCGAACGGACGAGAAGCUUGCUUCUCUGACGUUAGCGGCGGACGGGUGAGUAACACGUGGAUAACCUACCUAUAAGACUGGGAUAACUUCGGGAAACCGGAGCUAAUACCGGAUAAUAUUUUGAACCGCGUGGUUCAAAAGUGAAAGACGGUCUUGCUGUCACUUAUAGAUGGAUCCGCGCUGCAUUAGCUAGUUGGUAAGGUAACGGCUUACCAAGGCAACGAUGCAUAGCCGACCUGAGAGGGUGAUCGGCCACACUGGAACUGAGACACGGUCCAGACUCCUACGGGAGGCAGCAGUAGGGAAUCUUCCGCAAUGGGCGAAAGCCUGACGGAGCAACGCCGCGUGAGUGAUGAAGGUCUUCGGAUCGUAAAACUCUGUUAUUAGGGAAGAACAUAUGUGUAAGUAACUGUGCACAUCUUGACGGUACCUAAUCAGAAAGCCACGGCUAACUACGUG
rnacentral:rRNA from 1 species